rnacentral:lncRNA from 1 species
CCUGGAGUCUUCAGGGUCCAGCUGAGCUCACAAGAAGCUGGGGUGCUAUAGGAAAACCAGUGUAGCAGUUACUCUUGACAACUAGGGGUCACUGGAUGCCACUUCUGGGAUUCUUCACUAACAUCACUGGCUGUUUGGUCCCUCUUGACACCUCCUCUUUCCUUCCCCACCACGCAACCACAGCAAGACCUAGGAAGUGAAGUUUAAGAUAUACUUCCCUUUUUGACUGCCACCAUCUCCAUCUCAGUGGUUCUCAGUUCUGAGUCCACAUUACAUCACCAGGAGAACAUCUGAACGAUUCUCCCCCAUGGUCAUGUUCCCUGGCAACACUCUCCAGCCUCACCCUUGGUCCCUUUCCUGUACUCCACAGCACUGACCUUUGUGUCCCUCUUAUGGUUUGGAUGUGGUGCAGGGGUGUCCCCUAAAGGUUCCUCUGCUGAAGGUUUGGUCCCUGGUGUGAUGCUGCUGGGAGCUGGUGAUACCCCUAAGAGGUGAGGCCAGAGGGUGAUCAGGUCAGUGGGCUGCCACUGUCAGAAGACUAAUGCUGGUCUCAGGCACUGAGUUCCUUUCUCACAAUAGUGAACUGCUAUCCAAGAACAAUCCUUGCCCCUGGAUCCCUCUCUGGCUUGUGGUCUCACAGUGUGCUCUCCUUCUCUCACGUAUUCCUACCAUCAUGCCAUCUGCCAUAUUGUGAUACAGCCCCAGAAGGUGACUGGGCAGUGGAGUCACUUACAGCAGAACUCAGCUGGGAGUUUCCCCUGGUCUUCUGGUGUCAGGGUACUGAAUCUAUCUCCAACCUUCCCAAAACUGGUCAAUUUACAGCUAGAGAAUCAUGACUUCCUCCCUGCUACCCCAUUAAAAAAAAAAAAGCAGAAAGCAAGCUGGACAUCAAAG